rnacentral:rRNA from 1 species
GAUGAACGCUGGCGGCGUGCCUAAUACAUGCAAGUCGAGCGAACAGACGAGGAGCUUGCUCCUCUGACGUUAGCGGCGGACGGGUGAGUAACACGUGGAUAACCUACCUAUAAGACUGGGAUAACUUCGGGAAACCGGAGCUAAUACCGGAUAAUAUAUUGAACCGCAUGGUUCAAUAGUGAAAGACGGUUUUGCUGUCACUUAUAGAUGGAUCCGCGCCGCAUUAGCUAGUUGGUAAGGUAACGGCUUACCAAGGCGACGAUGCGUAGCCGACCUGAGAGGGUGAUCGGCCACACUGGAACUGAGACACGGUCCAGACUCCUACGGGAGGCAGCAGUAGGGAAUCUUCCGCAAUGGGCGGAAGCCUGACGGAGCAACGCCGCGUGAGUGAUGAAGGUCUUCGGAUCGUAAAACUCUGUUAUUAGGGAAGAACAAAUGUGUAAGUAACUAUGCACGUCUUGACGGUACCUAAUCAGAAAGCCACGGCUAACUACGUG